GAUGAACGCUAGCGGUAGGCUUAACACAUGCAAGUCGAGGGGCAGCACAGGUAGCAAUACUUGGUGGCGACCGGCGCAUGGGUGAGUAACGCGUAUGCAACCUACCUAUAACUGGAGAAUAGCCCUCUGAAAAGGGGAUUAAUGUUCCAUAAUGUUCAGGAUCCGCAUGGAUUUUGGACUAAAGCUCCGGCGGUUAUAGAUGGGCAUGCGUGACAUUAGCUAGUUGGUGAGGUAACAGCUCACCAAGGCUACGAUGUCUAGGGGGUCUUAAAGGAUGAUCCCCCACACUGGUACUGAGACACGGACCAGACUCCUACGGGUGGCAG
rnacentral:rRNA from 1 species